ensembl:lncRNA
UUGUAAGAUUUGUUUGAAAAGUUUGAGGUGGUAACUGUGAGCUGUGAACAUCUGGGUUUGCUUGCUGCUGGCACUCGACCAGCGUCUCAGCAACAACACUGCUUCCCAGCUUUGCAAGGUAAUUACUUUCCCAAUUACUGUACACCAAAAUGAAGUAACUGUCGUGGUCAACAAAUCUGCCUCCCACCUUUCAAGGUAAUCACUUUCCCAAUUACAAUAUACAAACUGUUAUGGAACUUUACUUAACAAAGCCUUAAGACCGGGUAGUGACACUAUCAAUAUGUCUAUUUAAAGAAAAGAGAGAUUUUUUUUGUUCUUGUAGUCAUCUUGUCUAUCAAUGUAUCAGAGGAUUAAAAUAAUAAAUUGCUUGAAAUGCCAAUAAUUAAUAUUCUGUUUUUAUGCUGACAUUCUACCAGAUGCUGAGAAAAAAUAAAAGAUCCCAGGCACAAAAGAAGCGCUGGAAACCACUUGACCUGGUCGAUCCUGCUGUCCCAAUGCUCACUGGCCACAACCAAGAUGAGCCAGUCAGUAGUUUUCCAUGUGACCAGCAGACGGCACCAGCCAGGUUAUCUUUGGAAACACAGGAUAGACCCACCUUCUUAUGUUCCCCAGGUACCAAGACAGCACCAGCCAGCUUGUCCUUGGAAACGGAGAAUAGACCCACCUCCUUAUGUCGUCCAGGCAGCAAGAGUUCAGAAACUCGUCCACCAGCAAAACGAGUCUGGGCAACCGAUGAUUUCCACACGGCAUCAAAUUCUCCACCUAAAAAGCCUUUCCACAACAUAAAUCAACAACUACUGACAGAGGAGCUACAGAGCAACGCAGUUCAGCACUUCUGGUGUGUCAGUGCAACUCAUUGUCAAAGUAAUAAAAGGUACACAAAAUUCUCUCGAAAUCAUCAGUGCACAUGUAAUGCCCUCACAUUCCUGGCCUACCUUAAUGAGGAACACCAGUUCAACGCAGCCCGACUUGAUAAGGUGCUUGAACAGGGAGAUGCACUCUACUGUUGGAUUAAAACAAAUCUAAAGCAGGAGAGGCGUUAUACACAAGAUCAUCUGACCAUGGAGGACCUGCCCAAAGAAGUUCAUGCUGACAUAAACGUCUACAGUGUGAAAAUGGACAACAUAAGGUAUGGAUACCUGAAAGCAGCAGACAAAACUUACCAAAGAAAAGAGUGGUGGUUGCUUCUUGCUAGUUCCCUUGUAUGUCUGUCAACAGAUGUGAACUAUGCUUUGCUCAUGGUUUCACCUCAGUGCAUUGCAGUUUUCCGUGACAAAUCUGGGAGGUAUGGAUUAUUUGAUUCACAUUCAAGAAGUGCAGCAGGUUUACCCCAGCCAAAUGGAACAGCAGUCAUGCUCACUUUCACUCAUGUGAAUGACCUGAUCACCCACCUGCAUAAUCUUUUUCAAAAUCAAGGCAGGUAUGCAAGAUAUGAGUUUGUGCCUGUUUCUUUCAAAAGAGUCAGGACUCACAACGAACAGCCUGCACAGUCAACUCAAGCAACACCAGGAGCAACAGCUACAUCACCACAAAAUGAUGAACCACAAAUCACAAAUCCCACUGUGCAAGUGCCUCAACCAGAAUCAGCCCAAACCUACACGACAAUAUUAGAAAGUGCUUUAAACCCACAACAAGACAAAAUGGCUUCAAAUCAAAUUUGUGAACAUCAACUUGAAACAUCUGUUGAUCCAACAAGCAACAUCCAAACAGAACAACAAGAAAAUCUUGAACUCAAUAAUGAAAGAGAUAAAGUCAUAGAUAACCCCCCCCCCCAAAAAAAAGCAAGAAAUGUGUGCAGAUUAAAUAAACAACGACGUGGGAAAGCUAUUCGUGAAGCUCAAAAAAGUCACAAGCAGCAUGUAAAAGCUAAAGAAAAAUCUUCAUCUGAAGACUUGGCAAAGAAGAUAAACAAAAAAAGACACGAAAAGGAACGAUGUGCCUGCUUUCCUGAAUUUCGAAUGAAAAAAUUACAGGCUGUGAAAACUCAAUAUGCUCAAAACUGUCAUCGCCAUAAACAAAAACUGUUAUCAGCCAAAGAUUAUUAUGCAAAUCCUCAUAUUCAAGAGAAGAUAAAAGCCCGCAAUGUGAAGAGAUACCAAAAUGAUCCUCAUUUUCAACAAAAAAAGAGAGACUACAUUAUCAGAAGAUAUACCACAGAUGCCAGCUUUCGAACCAGACAGAAACAAUAUGUGUUCCGAAGAUACAACACGGAUGCUGACUUUCAAAACAGACAGAAGCAAUAUCUGGUCCAAAGGUACAACACGGAUGCUGACUUUCAAAGCAGACAGAAGCAAUAUCUGGUCCAAAGGUACAACACGGAUGCUGACUUUCAAAGCAGACAGAAAAAAUACAUAAGAACAAAAUAUACAUCGGAUCCAAACUACAGGCACAAACAAAAAAAAUCAAUUCAUGCCAGGUAUCAUAAUGACUCACAAUUCAGACUGCACCAUAUACAGCGCUGUGCAGAGUACCAGAGACACAAAAUGGCUACCACUGCAUCUUUUGCCAUUUAUAAAAAGUUGUGUGCACAGAGAAUAAAGAAGAAAUACAGACGACUAGUAACACAAUUCCAGCAGGGUCCACAGUCUGAAGCACAGCCCCAGCUUGUAGUGAAUAGUGUGAUGCAAGCAGCCACAUUAGCUUUCCGUGAAACAAUUCAGUUAGGACCCACCCAUGUCUGUACAGUGUGCCACAGAACUCUGUUUCCUAAUCAAGUUAAACACUGCAAAAGAUCAAAGUAUGUUAAAAAUAGUCACAUUGUUGACACUUACUUGACAGGAAAAUUUGUCCAUGUUUGUGAUAGUGAAUGUACAGCUAAUUGUACCUUUCCAAAACAAAGAAUGCAAGAGUGGAUUUGCUACAACUGUGACAGCCACCUACAACGAGGAAAGAUCUCUUCCAUCGCAGUGGCAAACAAUUUAGCACUAGCACCCAUUCCAAUUGAACUGAGUCAAUUAAAUGUACUAGAACGACAACUGAUUGCUAAAAUUCUCCCGUUUGCCAAAAUCAUUGCAUUACCAAAAGGACAGCAAAGAGCCGUACAUGGGGCUGUUGUUUGUGUACCGUCGGAUGUGGAAACCACAGUAAACUGUCUUCCCAGACCUAGCAAUGAAGCCCAGCUCCUGCAGGUACAACUGAAAAGACACAGCAGAUUCAAAGGAUACCAACACUUCUACACUGUGAACAUGAAGAAUGUGUUAGCAGGCUUAUCAAAGCUAAAAGAGAUGCAUUCAGAAUACAAAGAUGUGUCUAUUGAUGAUGACGCUACUUUUGCUGAUCCCACAAAUAAUCAGAUAAUCGAGAUGGAACAUGACACUGCUGAUGCAGAUAUUCAAGAUGCACUGCCCAGAAACUUCGACAACCAAACUGUACCAGAAAGAAGAACCACUGAGGAUACAACAACUGGAAUACUUGAGCCAUGUCAUGAUGUAAACGAACUAUUGGAGCCUGAACAGUCAAAUGGAGAGCCCUUACAAGAUACGGAGAAAGAAAAGGAAGAACUUCGCCCUGGUCUUGUUCUAGACACCUGUAUGCAACCACCAGAUAUAGCACAGGACAUUUUAUCAUAUGGUGAAGGAAUAUUUAGCAUUGCACCCGCCCAAGGAAAUAGACCUGUUGGCUUCUUCUCUAUUCCUAAACUUGAAGCCAUGGCCUUUCCUGUGCAGUUCCCAACUGGACAGAACACAUUAGAUGAAGCCAGACAAGUCAAACUGUCCCCAAGCAUGUAUUUUAAUACACGGCUGUUCUCUGCAGAUACACGGUUUGCAACUGACCAAAGCUACCUAUUCUUUGCACAGUUUGUAACAGAAACACACAUG